rnacentral:rRNA from 1 species
AGGAUGAACGCUAGCGGCGUGCUUAACACAUGCAAGUCGAACGAUGAAGCCGGAGCUUGCUCUGGUGGAUUAGUGGCGAACGGGUGAGUAACACGUGAGUAACCUGCCCUUGACUCUGGGAUAAGCGUUGGAAACGACGUCUAAUACCGGAUACGACGCGCGAAGGCAUCUUCUGCGCGUAGGAAAGAAUUUCGGUCAAGGAUGGACUCGCGGCCUAUCAGCUAGUUGGUGAGGUAACGGCCCACCAAGGCGACGACGGGUAGCCGGCCUGAGAGGGUGACCGGCCAACGACGUGGACUGAGACACGGCCAGACUCCGACGGGAGGCAGCAGUGGGAAUAGUGCACAAGUGGCGG